ACUCAAAGGAAUAGACGGGGGCCCGCACAAGCGGUGGAGCAUGUGGUUCAAUUCGAAGCAACGCGAAGAACCUUACCUGGGUUCGAAAUGCAGCUGUAAGCGUCAGAGAUGAUGUCCCCUCUUCGGAGGCAGCUGUAUAGGUGCUGCAUGGCUGUCGUCAGCUCGUGUCGUGAGAUGUUGGGUUAAGUCCCGCAACGAGCGCAACCCUUGUCCAUAGUUGCUAACGCGUAGUGGCGAGAACUCUAUGGAGACUGCCGGUGAUAAACCGGAGGAAGGUGGGGAUGACGUCAAGUCCUCAUGGCCUUUAUGUCCAGGGCUACACACGUGCUACAAUGGACGGUACAAAGAGUCGCGAUCCCGUGAGGGGGAGCUAAUCUCAAAAAGCCGUUCUCAGUUCGGAUUGUUCUCUGCAACUCGAGAGCAUGAAGCUGGAAUCGCUAGUAAUCGCGGAUCAGCACGCCGCGGUGAAUACGUUCCCGGGCCUUGCACACACCGCCGU
rnacentral:rRNA from 1 species